UCAAUGCAGAGUAUCCUAUGAUUUUCCGUAGCUCUAUCUGGUAUUCAAAUCAAGUGUUUUUAGCCGUUCAGUUCUUUGCACUGAUGUAAGAAUUUGAGCUCAGAUCCUCAAAGAUAUUUAGUCAUCUAGCUCUUGCUGAUUUCAGUGGGAGUUAGCUGGCCAAGUGUCUGUGACUUUUAGUACCCUCAGAUUUGCCUCAUUUAAAGUCUAAGUUUGAAUCCUUCAGUAUUACAAAAUGUGUCUUUGCAGUAGCCUCACAGCUAUUCUUAAAGAAUCUCAUAAUGUCCUGCCUCAAAGAUAGUAAUAAUACCUCCUAAUUAACAACUAACAUCAUGCAGGUGUCUAAAGACUUCCAAAAAAUGUACUCAACUAGUGUCUGAACCUUGCUCUCUGUCAUGGCGUCACAUCAGCCCUCUCAUGAGAUAGAUCACACCUCUGUUGUCUCUGUGAGAUAUCCUGAGGAGCGGAUUCAGCAUGGAAGCACGGACCUUUGUUGGGAUCGAGCUGAACAAGUACGGACUUCCCAGCUCUGCUUAGCAGAAAAAGAAGAAAAAGAAGGCAAGCGGUCUGUCUCUCAAACCAAGUAA
ensembl:lncRNA